rnacentral:rRNA from 1 species
ACGGCACUUCGGUGCUUUGGCGGACGGGUGAGUAGGACAUAGAUAACCUGCCCUUGAGUGGGGGAUAACUAGCCGAAAGGUUAGCUAAUACCGCAUGAUGUGGUUAGUUGAGAUACUAAUCAAGAAAGGAGCAAUUCCCUUUUGGAGGGGUCUAUGGUCGAUUAGCUAAUUGGUGGGGUAAAGGCCUACCGAGGCGAUGAUCGAUAGCUGGUCUGAGAGGACGAUCAGCCACACUGGGACUGAGACACGACCCAGACUUCUACGGAAGGCACCAGUGGGGAAUUUUCCGCAAUGGGCGAAAGCCUGACGGACCGACGCCGCGUGGAGGAAGAAGUUUUUCGGAAUGUAAACUCCUGUCAUCAGGGACGAAUAAAAUGACGGUACCUGAGGAGGAAGCAUCGGCUAACUACGUGCCAGCAGCCGCGGUAAUACGUAGGAUGCAAGCGUUGUUCGGAAUUACUGGGCGUAAAGCGUACGUAGGCGGUGACAUAAGUUUAAUAUUAAAGACCGAAGCUCAACUUCGGGAAUGUAUUGAAUACUGUGUCGCUAGAGGUUAAUAGAGGAAAUCGGAAUUCCCAGUGUAGCGGUGAAAUGCGUAGAUAUUGAGAAGAACACCGGUGGCGAAAGCGGGAUUUCUGGGUUAAUACUGACGCUGAGGUACGAAAGUGUGGGGAGCAAACAGGAUUACAUACCCUGGUAGUCCACACGGUAAACGAUGGAUACUAGCUGUAAUGGGAUUCGACCCCUAUUGUGCGUAUCAACGCAAUAACUAUCUCGGCUGGGGACUAUGGCUGCAA